GUCGAACGCUGGCGGCGUGCCUAAUACAUGCAAGUAGAACGCAGUUGCGAACGGGUGAGUAACGCGUAGGUAACUGCCUGGUAGCGGGGGCUAACUAUUGGAACCGCUAGCUAAUACCGCAUCCUCCCAGCUGGACCUGCGUUGUCUGAGCUAGUUGGUUAGGUAACGGCCCACCAAGGCAACGAUACAUAGCCGACCGUAGAGGGUGAACGGCCACAUUGGGACUGAGACACGGCCCAGACUCCUCCGGGAGGCAGCAGUAGGGAAUCUGCGGCAAUGGGGGGAACCCUGACCGAGCAACGCCGCGUGAGUGAAGAAGGUUUUCGGAUCGUAAAGCUCUGUUGUUAAGGAAGCGGUACUUAACCAGAAAGGGACGGCUAACUACGUGCCAGCAGCCGCGGUAAUAC
rnacentral:rRNA from 1 species